GGAGUUUUUAACUGGUUUCUGUUUGUAGCAGCCUGCUCCAUGCCAGCUGAUUGAGAGCUUCUUGUGCCACUUCUUGAAAUGUCAGAUCACCGUUUUCUCUUCCUUGCCAGGUUUUGAUGUGGCAGGAAAGGAGGGAGGUGAGGGUUUUGUACCUGAGAAGCAUAGUCUAAUAGAUGGAAAUGUUAAUGAGCCAGCAUUCCAGGAUGAGGAGCCUUAGUACAGGUGUCCUUGUAAGAGAUGUUUCUGCUCUGUGAAUCGCCACAAAGCAGAGUCCAGGAUUUGGAAAGUCUUCAAAGGACCUGCCUGAAAUCUCAUUAUA